rnacentral:sRNA from 1 species
CGGAAGUGCCUUUCGUGUCGCUGGCCAGAUUGCUGUGUGUCGGAACUCCAAUCAUCCCAGCUCAAGAGGCAGUUCCUCAUAUCAACACCCCGAACCCCACGCAAUUCGAUCGGUGGAUCGAG